GAUGAACGCUGGCGGCGUGCCUAAUACAUGCAAGUCGAGCGAACGGACGAGAAGCUUGCUUCUCUGAUGUUAGCGGCGGACGGGUGAGUAACACGUGGAUAACCUACCUAUAAGGCUGGGAUAACUUCGGGAAACCGGAGCUAAUACCGGAUAAUAUUUUGAACCGCAUGGUUCAAAAGUGAAAGACGGUCUUGCUGUCACUUAUAGAUGGAUCCGCGCUGCAUUAGCUAGUUGGUAAGGUAACGGCUUACCAAGGCAACGAUGCAUAGCCGACCUGAGAGGGUGAUCGGCCACACUGGAACUGAGACACGGUCCAGACUCCUACGGGAGGCAGCAGUAGGGAAUCUUCCGCAAUGGGCGAAAGCCUGACGGAGCAACGCCGCGUGAGUGAUGAAGGUCUUCGGAUCGUAAAACUCUGUUAUUAGGGAAGAACAUAUGUGUAAGUAACUGUGCACAUCUUGACGGUACCUAAUCAGAAAGCCACGGCUAACUACGUGCCAGCAGCCGCGGUAAUACGUAGGUGGCAAGCGUUAUCCGGAAUUAUUGGGCGUAAAGCGCGCGUAGGCGGUUUUUUAAGUCUGAUGUGAAAGCCCACGGCUCAACCGUGGAGGGUCAUUGGAAACUGGAAAACUUGAGUGCAGAAGAGGAAAGUGGAAUUCCAUGUGUAGCGGUGAAAUGCGCAGAGAUAUGGAGGAACACCAGUGGCGAAGGCGACUUUCUGGUCUGUAACUGACGCUGAUGUGCGAAAGCGUGGGGAUCAAACAGGAUUAGAUACCCUGGUAGUCCACGCCGUAAACGAUGAGUGCUAAGUGUUAGGGGGUUUCCGCCCCUUAGUGCUGCAGCUAACGCAUUAAGCACUCCGCCUGGGGAGUACGACCGCAAGGUUGAAACUCAAAGGAAUUGACGGGGACCCGCACAAGCGAUGGAGCAUGUGGUUUAAUUCGAAGCAACGCGAAGAACCUUACCAAAUCUUGACAUCCUUUGACAACUCUAGAGAUAGAGCUUUCCCCUUCGGGGGACAAAGUGACAGGUGGUGCAUGGUUGUCGUCAGCUCGUGUCGUGAGAUGUUGGGUUAAGUCCCGCAACGAGCGCAACCCUUAAGCUUAGUUGCCAUCAUUAAGUUGGGCACUCUAAGUUGACUGCCGGUGACAAACCGGAGGGAGGUGGGGAUGACGUCAAAUCAUCAUGCCCCUUAUGAUUUGGGCUACACACGUGCUACAAUGGACAAUACAAAGGGCAGCGAAACCGCGAGGUCAAGCAAAUCCCAUAAAGUUGUUCUCAGUUCGGAUUGUAGUCUGCAACUCGACUACAUGAAGCUGGAAUCGCUAGUAAUCGUAGAUCAGCAUGCUACGGUGAAUACGUUCCCGGGUCU
rnacentral:rRNA from 1 species